CACAUUUUUUAUAGAUUACUGUCCAGUCCAGGGCUGGGGUAAUGCGGGCUGUCAGCAGCUGGGGCGAGAGGCUGAGGGACGAGCGGGCUGCGGCCGCUCCCUCCCAAGGGCACUGAGGCACCAUUUCUUCACCAGCCGUGAGGAGAACUUUGAUAUAUUACGUUAUUUUUUUUUUUCCACAGAAAGAUCUACUUAACGUGAUUACACAUGCACAGGUACGUCUUUUCCGGCAUAUCGAGUAUAAAGGCUUGCUUUCUGUAUUAUAAUCUCUCCAAAGGCAUCUUAAAACGUUCUCCCUUGUGCUUGAAUCUCGAGAAACCCGAUACAGUCCCAAGGGUAAAAAAAAGCCACGUUUAAAGGAUGGUCUCGGUUAUAUUUAGCUGAGCAGCAGCACAGGCUGACACGAGCAGAAACACAAGGAAGAACGGAGUGAAAACGUUGGUAGCAAUUGGUAACAAAAACCUACGAGUAUCUGAGGCGGAUUUUUUUUUUUUUAAUUUUCCUUUCCCUAAUUCACAUUUUGGCACGCAGAGAGAACAUUAAAGCAGCACAUGGGUUUAUGUGAACAAAAGGUAAGGAUGAGGUGUUUCACCUGACUCUGACAGGAUUUACUGUUGCCUUUGUGUAAUGGAAAAGGCUUCCUACUCUAAGAAAUUCUUUCAUUUUCUUUCAUAAAUCUUAACCUAAUUCUUUUCCCAUACAAACACAAGGCUGCUAAACCCUAUCGUUCUACCAGAAGAGAUUAAAAAUUUUCAGCUCAUAUCUAUGAAAUGUAUGUGGAAUUAUUUAACCUCAACAAAAGCCAUCUCACAGAUGCUUCAAUAAAGACUAAACAGCUACGUUUAACCUCGUUUUUCCUGAUUUUUCAUCUGUCCUCAGCACAGGAAUCUUCAAACCCACUCAAAAUCCCAAAUCCCAGCUAAAUCAGUGACUCAUCACUUCUGGCAGCAAGCGAUGUGGGAAGGAGGAGAUGAAGACAAUAGUCUUCAAAUAGUAGAGAAAGCUCUUGGAAAAACUACAAGCAAGGAAAGCCAAACUUCUUCACCACCUUUCUGCUGCUUUUUCACAGCUCCUGAAGGACAGUGCCUGGCACAAAGUUCCCACAAGUUCUGAACAUGCACCAAGUUUUCAGGGCAGAGAACACAGCUUUGCCAGCUGAGACCAACAGGACAAGACUUGAGUGACCAAGUUCUUAAAUUUCAGAAGAAUGCAAUGUCAUAAAGACCUUAAAUAAUACCACAGCCUCACAAAAUUGGUCAUUUCCACUUACAAAAAAAGCCAUGAGAGUAUCUCCAGCUUGCUAAAAUCCUCAAGACCACCACAGAAAAUGCAGACAAUAAUUAUUCUCCAGACAAAUGAAGCUGGAUACGUUACACAACAAGUGGGAGCACCAAACCAGGGAAAAGGGGAGUAUCGUCUACUUUUCCAUUAUUACAACUAGAAAUUGCCAAGAAAAUGAAAUGCUCGAGCACAGCAGACACUGCUUUUCUUCUCGUUAAAUCUUAAAGCUUGGUUCCAGUGGGAUCAUAUUCAGUCCUCUCAAAUUCAGAACAGAAUUUCAUCCUGCCUCAACAUCCCAACAAUGACAUUUUAUAAAUAUUACGAGUUUCUUGGACGCCUUUCUCAUUCCACAAGGAGCAGAGAAGCACUCUGUUUAGGGAUUUUUUUCUUCUUCCUCUGCUUGAGAUUUUUUUAUUAAACCUUAAAUGUAACCAGCCCUCCUCAAUCCAUUUUCUGCAGGAUUUUUUUGAGACCUUUGGAAGUCUCACAGAUUUUCUGAGCUGUAAUAAUUGUGGAAAAUCUUUGACAAAGGAUUGUCUUUAUUCAAGCAAUGAUAAAGCUCUCAUUGAGAGAGGUGCUGGAAAUAAACAAGUGCUUAAAGCAGCCUGAAAGUUGUCUUAAAUCUCCACCUGCUCUCCAGCCGAGACAGGACCUGGAUUUCUAAAUCCAGGAGGAGCAAACAAUAAUUAAAAGAAGUAAAUAAAUCCUUGCAUGGUUCUUUAGACAUGAGGGGGUGGGGCAGUCAGAAGAGGAGACACUGAUUUCCUCAUCUUCCCUUCUCUACACUUCCCAUGAGUGUCAGCCCCUCUCACCCUUCCAGGAGGUUCCACAUUCAAGGUCUUUUGUAAAGCCACACAAAUACAGAGCUAUUGCAGAACCAAGGACACGGGAAACACAUCCCCAGGAAUGGCAAACUUGGGUUAUUUCUUAAGUCUUCCAAUUCUACAAUUUUUGCUGUGAGGCAGCAGGGGGAAAAAAUGGGAAUGUGACAAAUCAACCUUGUGAAUGUCAGCGGUGUCAGGGAACAAGAAGAAACAGAACAAUACCACUUAUCAUUUCCCAAAGUAUGUUGAAGUGUGGUCUGUAAAAAAAAACCUCAGAAAUUGCUUUUCCUCUCACUGAAGCAAAUAGAAGCGACCCCGUUCUGCAGGCACACGGGCAGCAAGGCCUUGUGUCUGCACAUCCCUGCUCUGCCCAGCCACCAUCUCAGGGGUGCUGCAGGGAUCCAUCACGGAACACAACCCCUGCUGCCAACCCAGCCUUUCUACAUUUCACUCGCGACUUCUACAUCAACCACCACCGCUUUGCCACGGAACAGCUCGGGCUCACACCCCGGGACCCGUGUAGGGACCUACCUGUCACUGCUGGUGCUGCUGCUGCUGCUGAGGGAGUCGCUGCUGGAGGAUCUGCUCCGGGAGCCGCUGCCGCUGGGGGAGCGUGCGGGCCGGGCGGCCUGGCUGGCCAGGCGCUGCGGGGACUGCGUCCUGGACUGCGACGAGUGCGGCGAGCGGCUCCGGCUGUGCUGGUAGUUCCUCUCCGGCCUUCUGCCUCGUACCUCCCGUGUAAUGUCAUCCCUGUAGAUAUCCCUGUGUACCACACUGGGCAAUGUAAACUGCUCCCGGGCCCUAGGUUCGUAUCGGGGGUCGUGAGUGUCAAAACGGUUUGGGCUUCGGCUCCGAGAAGUGUAAUAGAGCCCGUGUUGUAAGGUCCGCUCCCGAGGGUCUCUAUAGUAAUCCUGAUCGUAAUGUCUCGUCCGAUCAAAUCCGCCCGUCCCCCGCUCAUGGUGUCCAUAGGCACUAUGUUCAUAAGCACGCUCCCUGUUAUCUGAAGCCCUGCAUUUGGGAAGGGGGAAAAAUAUUGCAUCAGAAAGGGGCAGGCACAACUAAAAGCAAAUCAUGCAAACAUUCACGGCAGCACUCGACUUAUUGUUGCGACUGCUUCUCCACUAACCAGCAAUAACCUAUCAAGCAAACAAUGACAAACUUCAAAACGUUUUACUUGACUCCAAAGUUAUAUUUGUAUACGAUCAAGCUGAGCAAUCGCUUUGGUUUAAUCACAAUAUGGGGCUUUCAUGACCAGCAACUUGUCUGCACAGGAAAAAUUUCUGCUUUCCCACGCAGAAUCCUCAUUUCAGUUGUUCUUUUUCUUUUAAAUUCCGUAAGCAAGAAAAACUUCACGUUUGUGGACAUCAUCAUUAACUUAUUCUUUUUCUCUCCAUUUUUGCCUAAGAGCUUCAAAAUUAAUUUUUUUAUUUGAAAUUUGGUAAUUACUGGAGCUCUUGUAAUUAUCCUUCUGCAAAAAUGGCAUCACAAAUUGGGCUGUAGCCAUGAAAGCCUCCAUGCAAAGCAUGACCCAGAGGUGAGAAGCUGCUUUCAAAAGGGGUGGCAUAACCCAUAGAGAAUUCCCAGAAAAUUAGGGGGGGUUCUUGUUGCUGUUCUAAAUUACUUCACCCUCUUAGAGGGAAUUUUUGCUUUGACCAGAUUGCUACACUCAUUUCUUGUAAAAGCUGUGGACACUACAGAAACAUCUCCAUUACUGAUGCUGGAGCUGCAAGGAUGCUGCAAGGUCCCCAGAACAUACUAAGACCUUACACAAGGACUGGGAACCCAAUUUUUAGGAGGGGUUUUUGUUGUGACUGUUGCUGUUGCUGCAAUCACAGAAUUUCUAUCUGCACAAGCUGCUCUUUUUCAGCAGCUACAGUCCAGUUAAUUUCAGUGUUUCAAACACUUUAAAUUGAGAAAGGCUCGGUGAUGUUCUGAGUUAGUGUGAUCUCUCAAAUAAAGAGACAAUAAAACUGACAUAUAAAGGAACACUACAAAUAGUUGAGUAUUCCAAUUUAGACAAGUAUUAGGAUGGUACAUCUUAGUUACAUCCACAAAAUGGAAGAUCCAUAAUGGCUACAACAUUGAACAUUUAAAAACUACUUCUAAAAUUCUAAAUAUAUCAGGGUAGCCAAAGUUAAUUUAAAAAUUCAUUAUCCAUCUAAUGAAGGACAUUUCAACCUUUUUUUCAACCUUCUCUCUCAGGUUCUUCCUUCAGAAUCUGUUAUGAGUCACUUCAGUAAUCCCCUGAAUCCAAAUAACCCAAUUCUGCCUUGUGCCUCCUCCUCCUCCUCUCCUGCAUCACAGCCCUAGUUCGAAAGGCAGAAAUAUUUCAGGGAUCUUUUAUAAACUGAAAAUGGGAUUUGAAUCUUUUUUCGAUUACCAUCUCAGGAAGUGCCUUCCAUUCCUUCUCCAAUGAAUCACUAGAUCCUUAAUCCUCUCAAUAUAUUCACUUUCUCUUGUUAAACUGUAACUCAUAUCAAGCUUUCUAUAGGGUUCCUUCACAUCUUGCCUGCAUUUUUUUCUCUCAAAUUAUAUAUAAAAAACUACUUAACCAGAGCAAGAGAAUGUCAUUAACUUCUACAUCUGUUUGAAAUUCAUUGUUGCAUUUCUAUUUCCAUUACCUCUUGCUUGCAACAAUGGAAUUUUGAAAGCUAUUUCAGAAUCUGGCACAGAAAUGUGUCUCUGUUUUGGUUCUUUUUUUCCCCCUUUUGAAGGACCAAGAUCAACAAUUUAACAAACUAUUGCAUUUAGCAUCCUAAAGUGUUAAUCAGUGACAGCUGAUUUAAUGAGGUCAGAGAAAAAGCAGUAUUUUCUAGCGGGUUACUACUACAGAGCUGACAGAAAGAACAAAUCCUUAUCCAUGAGAAGGACACAGAAGACAGAGGAAGCAGAGCUGAGCAGCUACUGGCUACAGUGCUUUCUUCAUUUAUCUAUUAGUACUAAGUGCUACUGGAGUUAGUGGAAAGAGAGGGUUUGACUUGGGUUAGGAGAGGGGCUAAUAUACACAGGGCAGGACAUACCAACCUUUUCCAAGUGUGGGAACACGACCUAUAUUCCCAAUUAAAUCUAGGGAGAGAAUUGUGAACAUAACUUCCCCAAUUUUGGCCCCUCUUACAGGGGUAAUCCACCUUCUUAAUGGGCAAGGGUGUCAAAUGAUAUUUUAGAUGAACCAACAAGAAAAAAAAAAAAAAAUCUUAGUGACAGGACACAAAAAAAAAAAUCCACUGGACGGAAGUAGUCCCAGACUGAAACCGUAACUCUGAAACCCCCAGACUUCUUUCUUGAGACAGAAGGCACUUAAAUAGAUCCAUAAUUUUAAUUUCCAGCCCUAAGUCUGAAUCAAGCAGCUGGUAGAAGAUCCCCCGAGGCCCGAGGGCCCUGACGCUGCUGCCAGCAGGCAUCCUCUGGCCGCCUUGGUAACCAUCCAGCCCAGUCACGUCUCACUGGUGUAUCCACAAACGGGUAUUAGCACCACGUCCUUAAAGCUAAAGUAUGUUUAAUGUGGAGCAGCAGAGAGCUUUUUAAGAGACUAGAUAGUAAUCCACUCCCCAUGGCUACUGGCGUCUUGACUGUAUACCAUCCAAUAAAUUCAAGGCAGUAGUUCUUAUCCCAUCUUUAAAAAAAAAA